GCCUCCGUCGCUCAGCGGUUAGAGCGCCUCGAUAUCUUCGAGAAAAUCGCAUAGUUCAUGAGGAGAUGUGGGUUCGACUCCCACCGGAGGCA